rnacentral:rRNA from 2 species
GAUGCAAAGGGAGCUUGCUCCCUCGAGAUCAGCGGCGGACGGGUGAGUAACACGUGGGUAACCUGCCUGUAAGACUGGGAUAACUCCGGGAAACCGGGGCUAAUACCGGAUAACUCAGUUCCUCGCAUGAGGAACUGUUGAAAGGUGGCUUUUCGCUACCACUUACAGAUGGACCCGCGGCGCAUUAGCUAGUUGGUGAGGUAACGGCUCACCAAGGCGACGAUGCGUAGCCGACCUGAGAGGGUGAUCGGCCACACUGGGACUGAGACACGGCCCAGACUCCUACGGGAGGCAGCAGUAGGGAAUCUUCCGCAAUGGACGAAAGUCUGACGGAGCAACGCCGCGUGAGUGAAGAAGGUUUUCGGAUCGUAAAACUCUGUUGUUAGGGAAGAACAAGUGCCGUUCGAAUAGGGCGGCGCCUUGACGGUACCUAACCAGAAAGCCACGGCUAACUACGUGCCAGCAGCCGCGGUAAUACGUAGGUGGCAAGCGUUGUCCGGAAUUAUUGGGCGUAAAGCGCGCGCAGGUGGUUUCUUAAGUCUGAUGUGAAAGCCCACGGCUCACCGUGGAGGGUCAUUGGAAACUGGGGGAACUUGAGUGCAGAAGAGGAAAGUGGAAUUC